rnacentral:rRNA from 1 species
AGCGUACACGGUGGAUGCCCUGGCAGUCAGAGGCGAUGAAGGACGUGCUAAUCUGCGAAAAGCGUCGGUAAGGUGAUAUGAACCGUUAUAACCGGCGAUGUCCGAAUGGGGAAACCCAGUGCAAUUCGUUGCACUAUCGUUAACUGAAUACAUAGGUUAACGAGGCGAACCGGGGGAACUGAAACAUCUAAGUACCCCGAGGAAAAGAAAUCAACCGAGAUUCCCCCAGUAGCGGCGAGCGAACGGGGAGCAGCCCAGAGUCUGAAUCAGCUUGUGUGUUAGUGGAACGGUCUGGAAAGUCCGACGGUACAGGGUGAUAGUCCCGUACACCAAAAUGCACAGGUUGUGAACUCGAAGAGUAGGGCGGGACACGUGGUAUCCUGUCUGAAUAUGGGGGGACCAUCCUCCAAGGCUAAAUACUCCUGACUGACCGAUAGUGAACCAGUACCGUGAGGGAAAGGCGAAAAGAACCCCGGCGAGGGGAGUGAAAAAGAACCUGAAACCGUGUACGUACAAGCAGUGGGAGCACCUUCGGGUGUGACUGCGUACCUUUUGUAUAAUGGGUCAGCGACUUAUAUUCUGUAGCAAGGUUAACCGUAUAGGGGAGCCGCAGGGAAACCGAGUCUUAACUGGGCGUUAAGUUGCAGGGUAUAGACCCGAAACCCGGUGAUCUAGCCAUGGGCAGGUUGAAGGUUGGGUAACACUAACUGGAGGACCGAACCGACUAAUGUUGAAAAAUUAGCGGAUGACUUGUGGCUGGGGGUGAAAGGCCAAUCAAACCGGGAGAUAGCUGGUUCUCCCCGAAAGCUAUUUAGGUAGCGCCUCGUGAACUCAUCUUCGGGGGUAGAGCACUGUUUCGGCUAGGGGGUCAUCCCGACUUACCAACCCGAUGCAAACUACGAAUACCGAAGAAUGUUAUCACGGGAGACACACGGCGGGUGCUAACGUCCGUCGUGAAGAGGGAAACAACCCAGACCGCCAGCUAAGGUCCCAAAGUCACAGUUAAGUGGGAAACGAUGUGGGAAGGCACAGACAGCCAGGAUGUUGGCUUAGAAGCAGCCAUCAUUUAAAGAAAGCGUAAUAGCUCACUGGUCGAGUCGGCCUGCGCGGAAGAUGUAACGGGGCUAAACUGUGCACCGAAGCUGCGGCAGCGACACUAUGUGUUGUUGGGUAGGGGAGCGUUCUGUAAGCCUGCGAAGGUGUGCUGUGAGGCAUGCUGGAGGUAUCAGAAGUGCGAAUGCUGACAUAAGUAACGAUAAAGCGGGUGAAAAGCCCGCUCGCCGGAAGACCAAGGGUUCCUGUCCAACGUUAAUCGGGGCAGGGUGAGUCGACCCCUAAGGCGAGGCCGAAAGGCGUAGUCGAUGGGAAACAGGUUAAUAUUCCUGUACUUGGUGUUACUGCGAAGGGGGGACGGAGAAGGCUAUGUUAGCCGGGCGACGGUUGUCCCGGUUUAAGCAUGUAGGCUGGUUAUCCAGGCAAAUCCGGAUAAUCAAGGCUGAGGUGUGAUGACGAGGCACUACGGUGCUGAAGUAACAAAUGCCCUGCUUCCAGGAAAAGCCUCUAAGCAUCAGGUAACAUUAAAUCGUACCCCAAACCGACACAGGUGGUCAGGUAGAGAAUACCAAGGCGCUUGAGAGAACUCGGGUGAAGGAACUAGGCAAAAUGGUGCCGUAACUUCGGGAGAAGGCACGCUGGUGUGUAGGUGAAGUCCCUGCGGAUGGAGCUGAGACCAGUCGAAGAUACCAGCUGGCUGCAACUGUUUAUUAAAAACACAGCACUGUGCAAACACGAAAGUGGACGUAUACGGUGUGACGCCUGCCCGGUGCCGGAAGGUUAAUUGAUGGGGUUAUCCGUAAGGAGAAGCUCUUGAUCGAAGCCCCGGUAAACGGCGGCCGUAACUAUAACGGUCCUAAGGUAGCGAAAUUCCUUGUCGGGUAAGUUCCGACCUGCACGAAUGGCGUAAUGAUGGCCAGGCUGUCUCCACCCGAGACUCAGUGAAAUUGAACUCGCUGUGAAGAUGCAGUGUACCCGCGGCAAGACGGAAAGACCCCGUGAACCUUUACUAUAGCUUGACACUGAACAUUGAGCCUUGAUGUGUAGGAUAGGUGGGAGGCUUUGAAGCGUGGACGCCAGUCUGCGUGGAGCCAACCUUGAAAUACCACCCUUUAAUGUUUGAUGUUCUAACGUUGGCCCCUGACCGGGGUUGCGGACAGUGUCUGGUGGGUAGUUUGACUGGGGCGGUCUCCUCCCAAAGCGUAACGGAGGAGCACGAAGGUUAGCUAAUCCUGGUCGGACAUCAGGAGGUUAGUGCAAUGGCAUAAGCUAGCUUGACUGCGAGCGUGACGGCGCGAGCAGGUGCGAAAGCAGGUCAUAGUGAUCCGGUGGUUCUGAAUGGAAGGGCCAUCGCUCAACGGAUAAAAGGUACUCCGGGGAUAACAGGCUGAUACCGCCCAAGAGUUCAUAUCGACGGCGGUGUUUGGCACCUCGAUGUCGGCUCAUCACAUCCUGGGGCUGAAGUAGGUCCCAAGGGUAUGGCUGUUCGCCAUUUAAAGUGGUACGCGAGCUGGGUUUAGAACGUCGUGAGACAGUUCGGUCCCUAUCUGCCGUGGGCGCUGGAGAAUUGAGGGGGGCUGCUCCUAGUACGAGAGGACCGGAGUGGACGCAUCACUGGUGUUCGGGUUGUCAUGCCAAUGGCACUGCCCGGUAGCUAAAUGCGGAAGAGAUAAGUGCUGAAAGCAUCUAAGCACGAAACUUGCCCCGAGAUGAGUUCU